rnacentral:tRNA from 1 species
GCUGUGGCUCUGCAAUAGAGCAUUUGUUUUGCAUGCAGAAGGUCUCUGGUUCAAUUCCAGCCAUCUCCC